rnacentral:rRNA from 1 species
CCUACGGGUGGCAGCAGUGGGGAAUAUUGCACAAUGGGCGCAAGCCUGAUGCAGCGACGCCGCGUGGGGGAUGACGGCCUUCGGGUUGUAAACUCCUUUCGCCAGGGACGCGGUACCUGGAUAAGAAGCACCGGCUAACUACGUGCCAGCAGCCGCGGUAAUACGUAGGGUGCGAGCGUUGUCCGGAAUUACUGGGCGUAAAGAGCUCGUAGGUGGUUUGUCGCGUCGUUUGUGUAAUACCGCAGCUUAACUGCGGGGUUGCAGGCGAUACGGGCAAACUUGAGUGCUGUAGGGGAGACUGGAAUUCCUGGUGUAGCGGUGGAAUGCGCAGAUAUCAGGAGGAACACCGAUGGCGAAGGCAGGUCUCUGGGCAGUACUGACGCUGAGGAGCGAAAGCAUGGGUAGCGAACAGGAUUAGAUACCCUUGUAGUC